UGGAGUGGCGGCGGCCUAGGGCCUGUCAGC
rnacentral:misc_RNA from 1 species